UACGUAGGGUGCAAGCGUUGUCCGGAAUUAUUGGGCGUAAAGAGCUCGUAGGCGGUCUGUCGCGUCGGCUGUGAAAUCCCGAGGCUCAACCUCGGGUCUGCAGUCGAUACGGGCAAACUUGAGUGUUGCAGGGGAGACUGGAAUUCCUGGUGUAGCGGUGAAAUGCGCAGAUAUCAGGAGGAACACCGGUGGCGAAGGCGGUUCUCUGGGCAUGUCCUGACGCUGAGGAGCGAAAGUGUGGGGAGCGAACAGG
rnacentral:rRNA from 1 species